UCUGUAAAGUUCCUUCGACGAGUCGAGUAGUUUGGGAAUGCUGCUCUAAAUGGGAGGUAUAUGUCUUCUAAAGCUAAAUACCGGCCAGAGACCGAUAGCGCACAAGUAGAGUGAUCGAAAGAUGAAAAGCACUUUGAAAAGAGAGUUAAAAAGUACGUGAAAUUGUUGAAAGGGAAGCGUUUAUGACCAGACUUGGGCUUGGUUAAUCAUCUGGGGUUCUCCCCAGUGCACUUUUCCAGUCCAGGCCAGCAUCAGUUUUCCCCGGGGGAUAAAGACUUCGGGAAUGUGGCUCUCUUCGGGGAGUGUUAUAGCCCGCUGUGUAAUACCCUGGGGGGGACUGAGGUUCGCGCAUCUGCAAGGAUGCUGGCGUAAUGGUCAUCAACGACCCGUCUUGAAACACGGACCAAGGAGUCGUCUUCGUAUGCGAGUGUUCGGGUGUCAAACCCCUACGCGUAAUGAAAGUGAACGCAGGUGAGAGCUUCGGCGCAUCAUCGACCGAUCCUGAUGUUCUCGGAUGGAUUUGAGUAAGAGCAUACGGGGCCGGACCCGAAAGAAGGUGAACUAUGCCUGUAUAGGGUGAAGCCAGAGGAAACUCUGGUGGAGGCUCGCAGCGGUUCUGACGUGCAAAU
rnacentral:rRNA from 1 species